GCUGGGAUCAUGAAGUCUCUGAUUGAACUAUGAGCCACAAAGCUGAUGUGAACAUCAUCACUGUGGUUCUUCUUCUCCUCCUCAUCAAUGUGUUUCUUCAGGAAGUCAAACAUGUCUAUGGAUCCUGAAACAAAACACAGAGAAAAUCUUCUCGUUUCAUUUCACUCUUAGUUUCCAGACUUACUCCAGUUCCUCGUUUCUGUCCAUCUCCUCAGAGGAAGUUCGACUGUCUUUAACGUUGUCCUUCAGGUGCUUCCUGUGGUCAAUAAUCGACAGCAUGUGGGUCAGAUCUCAGCGUGUCUGUGUCCUGUCUUCCUCACCCAACCCCCAGCUGGUUGCGGCAGAUGGCC